AGAAGACACGUGCUUAUAAUCUUCCUAAAGGCUACGUGGCCUUGAGAUGUAAACACAGGAGCAUCAGGCACUGGGACAGAGAUAAGGGCCCUGUGGAACAGCACUGAUCCAAGCAGAGGUGCAGCCUGUGCCUCCAGGCCAGGACUGCUCCCACCUCACACCCCAAAGGACUCUGAAAGGCACACUGGGAGCCCUUUCCUUACACUCAUCCUCCUCGCCACACUGGCAGUCCUUGACACGGUGGAGGGCGUGCAGGCUGGAACAGUAGGGAGCUUCACUCUGGUUCUCACAGUUGCAGUAGGACUCUCCUGUCACGGGGAUGGCGCUCGGGAUGGAGGGCGAGAGGGUGGAAAACUCCGGCUCCGAAUCUGAGUCACUGUGCUGCCCAUCGGAAUCAUAGCCCCAGCCUCGCGCCCCUGUGGCCAAAGCGAGUGCCCGGCUGUCAGCCUCGCGGCGCACCCCGCUCAGGACGAAGUGCCAGGCCCGGCUGCUCCGCGUGCGUCGUGCCAUGGCGUUCCGGGAGAGAUACGCGGCCCCGCUCCGGGCCCACGUCGGCCCGACCCGGCCUGGCCCCGCCGCCGCGUUCCGACCUACUUUCCCCUCCC
rnacentral:lncRNA from 1 species